GACGAACGCUGGCGGCGUGCCUAAUACAUGCAAGUAGAACGCUGAAGAGAGGUGGUUACUCUUCUUGGGUGAGUUGCGAACGGAUUAGUAACGCGUAGGUAACCUGCCUUGUAGCGGGGGAUCACUAUUGGAAACGAUAGCUAAUACCGCAUAACAAUGGAUGACACAUGUCAUUUAUUUGAAAGGGGCCUUUCCUCCACUACAAGAUGGACCUGCGUUGUAUUAGCUAGUAGGUGAGGUAAUGGCUCACCUAGGCGACUAUACAUAGCCGACCUGAGCGGGUGAUCGGCCAACAUGGGGAUGGGACAAGGCCCAGACUCCCACGGGAGGGAGCAGGAGGGGAACUUCGGAAAUGGGGGCAACCCUGACCGAGCAACGCCGCGGGAGUGAAGAAGGGUGUCGGAUCGGAAAGCUCUGUUGUAAGUCAAGAAAAGGUGUGAGAGUGGAAAGUGCACACUGUGACGGUAGCGUAAGAGAAAGGGACGGCUAACUACGUG
rnacentral:rRNA from 1 species